GGGCGGAUAGUUCAGGUGGCGAGAACGCCGGUCUCACAUACCGGAGGUCGGAGGUUCAAGUCCUCCUCCGCCCA
rnacentral:tRNA from 1 species